rnacentral:snRNA from 1 species
GGAUGUGAGGGCCACCUGGCUGCGACCAUCUGUCAUUCCACUGAUUGCCAAGGUUGAUUCUGCUGGUCUGGCUGGCCAGGCAGGUGUCCCUUCCUCCCUCCAGGUGCAUCCCUCUCGAAGCUGCGCACUCAAAGAGGACGACCUUCCCUGCUGGAGGAAGGCUGGUCUUCCGUCAAGGGUAUACGAGCAGCUGUGUCUUCUCCCAACCCCACUAGAACCUCCAAACAGGCUCUCAAGUUUUGCCUUAUU